rnacentral:tRNA from 1 species
GCCAGGUAGCUCAGCUGGUUAGAGCAUUGUCCCAAUGUGCUAAGGCUGUGGGUUCAAUCCCCACUCAGGGCA